rnacentral:rRNA from 1 species
AGAGUUUGAUCAUGGCUCAGGACGAACGCUGGCGGCGUGCUUAACACAUGCAAGUGGUGCGACGAACCAGAGCUUGCUCUGGGGCCAAGCCGCGAACGGGUGAGUAACACGUGAGUAAUCUGCCCCGAUGACCGGGACAACCCGAGGAAACUCGGGCUAAUACCGGAUGUGGUGCACGGAUUUAAGUCUGUGUACUAAAGGAAGCUUCGGCCUCCGCAUUGGGAGGAGCUCGCGGCCCAUUAGCUUGUUGGUGGGGUAACGGCCUACCAAGGCAACGAUGGGUAGCUGGUCUGAGAGGACGAUCAGCCACACUGGGACUGAGACACGGCCCAGACUCCUACGGGAGGCAGCAGUGGGGAAUCUUGCGCAAUGCGCGAAAGCGUGACGCAGCAACGCCGCGUGGGGGAAGACGGCCUUCGGGUUGUAAACCCCUUUCAGGAGGGACGAAGGUUCACCGGUUAAUAGCCGUGUGGAUUGACGGUACCUCCACAAGAAGCUCCGGCUAACUACGUGCCAGCAGCCGCGGUAAUACGUAGGGAGCAAGCGUUGUCCGGAAUCAUUGGGCGUAAAGAGCGCGUAGGUGGCUUUAUAAGUCCGUUGUGAAAGUCAAAGGCUCAACCUUUGAAAGCCGAUGGAUACUGUAGAGCUAGAGUACGGAAGAGGCGAGUGGAAUUCCUGGUGUAGCGGUGGAAUGCGCAGAUAUCAGGAGGAACACCAAUAGCGAAGGCAGCUCGCUGGGACGUUACUGACACUGAGGCGCGAAAGCGUGGGGAGCGAACAGGAUUAGAUACCCCAGUAGUCC